rnacentral:tRNA from 6 species
GGAAGCGUGGCCGAGUGGUUUAAGGCAGCGGUCUUGAAAACCGCCGAUGGGCAACUAUCCUAGAGUUCGAAUCUCUACGCUUCCGCCA